UACGGGGGGAGCAAGCGUUGUUCGGAUUUACUGGGCGUAAAGGGCGCGUAGGCGGCCAGCACAAGUCAGUUGUGAAAUCUCCGAGCUUAACUCGGAAAGGUCAACUGAUACUGUGCGGCUAGAGUGCGGAAGGGGCAACUGGAAUUCUUGGUGUAGCGGUGAAAUGCGUAGAUAUCGUAAGGAAGACCAGUGGCGAAGGCGGGUCUCUGGACAGUUCCUGACGCUGAGGCACGAAGGUCAGGGGAGCAAACGGG
rnacentral:rRNA from 1 species